GGUUCUACAGUGUAGUGAUCAGCACAUCCGCUUUACAUGCAGAAGGUCCUGGGUCCGACCCCCAGUGGAACCA
rnacentral:tRNA from 1 species